GCUAUAUUUUCAUCCUGCUGCCUGUGGAUCAAGAUGUAGAACUCUCAGCCCCUUCUCCAGCAUCAUGUCUGCCUGCACGCCACCAUGCUUCCUGCCAAGAUGAUAAUGGACUAAAGCUCUGAACUGCCAGCUGGACAGCAAGCACGUUGAGGUGAGCAGGAGGUCUGAGCUACUGCUGGCCAGUGAAGAAGCCCUAGAGUGACAAAUCAUGAAACUACAUCGUGUGCACUUUCUUUCAGCUGAUUCCAGGAUUCUGACGUAAGUGCAGGCCAUACUGGAUAUGAAGAAGCAGCAGAGCAUGGUGGCAGGGAGGAUGGCAGCAGUGUGACAAUGAUGGAGGCAGUGUGACAUUAAGGAGCACCAGCCACACCCACGCUUGGACAGUGGCUUGAAACUAAAGACUUUGCACCAGCCUGUUCUUUUGGGUUAUAAGCACCACCCCAUAGCUUAAAGGCUAAAGAUCUGCACCUUUCCUAGGCAGCGCAGUGGGAGCAGCCUUGGUUUCACAGUCCAAAAUGCCCACUUGAUUCUGGAAGAAGGGUUGGGGGAAGCCUUGACAGGACUACUUGGCAGUUAUAAAGGUGUUUGCCUGAAGAAGCCUGGGACCCAUCUGGUGAUGCUGGUACAGCAAUGUGGUCUGCUGAUCUACCCAGAGAGCCCAUCUGCUCAUAAGCAUCCCACCUCUGGGCUAUCCAGGUCUGAGUUGAUCCUAGCCACACCAAGGCCCAGCUGCUGUAAUACCUCUAGGCAUUUGGCUCCCAAAUGCUUUCCUAACAAAGACAAGUACUGAGUUAUCCAUCCUGCUGGCAGCCAUGGACAACUGAAGGAGCAGCUGAAAGUUUGAAACGGGGAAGUGGAAGAGAGAUGACCAGAAAGUAGAGAGCUGAUUAAAGCUGUGAAGGAGCCCGAGAGAACAACCUGCAGGCUCCAACUUCAACAAGAAUUCCAGAGAGCUGUGAAGUCUUAGGAGCUAAGGGCCUCACACUGAGCAGUAACACUGGCUGCUGUUGAGGCCAAGGGACCUGAUACUCCUGCUGCUUCUACCCGCUGCUGGAAGACACAAGCUUCUAGAGGCCAGCAUCUGAACAGCUUUCCUCCCAUCUACCCAAGGUUUCUCUCCAGGCAGAGCCAAGUUGCUAGCUAGUGAACGGCAAGAAUAUUUUCUAGAGUUGAUUCAUUUGAAAAAGAUCCUAUUUUCUUGUUUUCAAUAAUCUUACACAUUUUAAACUCCAGACUUCUAUGGCAAGAGUUAAACUGUUUGUUUAAGCAAGAAUUAGUAGAGUUUUUGUGUUCCUUGCAAUAUACACAGUAUAUACAAUAUGUAACAUUUUUGUGACAGGAUUAAACGCCUUUAAUCCUAGCACUCGGGAGGCAGAGGCAGGUGGAUGGACCUCUGUGAGUAGGCCAGCCUGGUCUACGGAGUAAGUUCCAGGACAGGCUCCAAAGCUACACAAAGAAACCCUA
ensembl:lncRNA